GAUAAAACCAUUGCCUACAUGCAAAAAAGGUAAAUAUGGUUGAAAUUGUCAAGUUUGUUUAUAUUAUAAAUAUCUUUAUUUUUCUUUUUCUAGUUGCAACGAAUGUUGAAGCUAAGUUUACUAGAUGCUUUAGAGACUCAGAUUGUCCAAAAACCUUGUGUCAUUCUCCUGGCAAAGCGAAGUGUAUGCACCACUCCAUAUGUAAAUGUAUUUUUUUUGGUUACAAUAUAUAAAUGUAUACGAGAGUUCUCCAAAACAGAUUAUGUGCAUACAUGAGUAUGUAUGUUUUCCAUACUAAAGAGCGUACACAAAUUAUAUUCCUUCUUGAAUAUUCCAUGAGAUGUCAUUUUGUUAUUGUCUUGGUACUCCAAUAGUUUGAAUUUUUUUUUUCCUAAUGUGAAGAACCUUGUAUUUAUGGAUUUGUAUUAUAAGAUGAUGGUAAUGAAAUGAAAUAAGGCAAUAAAUAAUAAUAUUUUAAAAUUUUUGUUCUAUUUUAAUUUUAUAGAUAUUUUUGUAGCCUUUUAUCCCUUAAGAGUAACAAGGAUAUGGGUCGAUCCACUAAUCUAUUUAAGAACGCCCCAAGCAUCAAGCCUGAAAAUGUGAAGUACUUUAAGAACCCAUGAGCUGGUAGGGACCGAGCCCAUAUGUGUUAUGAUUCGAGAAAUGUCCUACUUUUAGGUCACUUCACUUCUCUUGUAGAUGUUUUCGUAGCAUUCCAAAAGUUGAAUUGUUUUAGGAUAUGUUCUCUUUGCUUCCCUUGUCACCAAUAUCUCAUGAAAAAUAUUAGGCGAAAGGUCCAUAUCCACCAACAGACGUGCAUAUUGGCAAAACACACAAAUUUUUUUAGAACUAUCAUUAAACUUAUUCAUACUUGAGCAUUUUUCUAACGUUGCAUGGAAGCAUUGAAAUCCUCAAUACACUCAAAUAGUUGAAGAACCGCAGGUUUCAAGUUAAUUGUUCCUAAUGCCAAAACCAUUCGUAAAUCCUUCAUUGAUGCAAAUGAGGAUUCGUUGUAUCCCCUACCGAGAGAAAACAUCUUACAUUGGCCAUUCGUUUCUAUUUUUCAAAUUUUUUGUAAUGAUUUCCUUUGUGGUGUAAGGCUUAUCACCCUCGUUUAACACAAGUCGCAGGAUGACAUGUCAUCUUACGUUAUUUUCAGCAAUUUUUCAGUCAUUUUAGUUUUGAUUUGACCCAAACUAGAGGAUUUUUAGAACAAUUGCCUAUGGUUUAAGGGAUAUUUUUUGAUAUUUCCAUACCGAGUCAUGUAGUUCUAGUUUUACCGAAACCAAGCAAUUAUUAGCAUGGUUUUGAUCUAAUUCACUGCAAAAUCAUGUAAUUUGGCAAACCAAAGCACCUCGUGAAGAAUUGAGAAGACAAUGAAUGAAGAUUCAAGAGGCCUCUGAAGACAUUACAAGUUGAGGAAAUUUUAUCUCAAGUUCGAAGGAAAAUUUGCAGUGCUCCCCAGGUAUUGUUGGCUCUUGAGAGGAUUGAACAAGAUUUUGAGCUAACACACGAUGUAUUUCAACAUGCUCAUUGGGGUGGAACAAUUGGGAAAAAGCUUAUGUCUGAAGUUGAUAAAGAAAUUAUUGAUCUUUAAAGGUGUCAUUUGAUAUUUGUUAAGAACACUCCAAGUGUAAAAAAUCAUAUACAGGAUUGAUUUAUACUGUUUUGAGGUUUUUAUUCAAUUUUCGGAUAAUAAUUGAUUGAUCAUUUAUUAUAAUUUUGUGGUACAGUUUGGUUGAUCAUUUAUUAUAAUUUUGUGGUACAGUUUGGUUG